CGUAGGUGCAAGCGUUGUCCGGAAUUAUUGGGCGUAAAGAGCUCGUAGGCGGUCUGUCGCGUCUGCUGUGAAACUCAGGGCUUAACCCUGAGCUUGCAGUGGGUACGGGCAGACUAGAGUGCGGUAGGGAGACUGGAAUUCCUGGUGUAGCGGUGAAAUGCGCAGAUAUCAGGAGGAACACCGGUGGCGAAGGCGGGUCUCUGGGCCGUAACUGACGCUGAGGAGCGAAAGCAUGGGAGCGAACAGGAUU
rnacentral:rRNA from 1 species